GUGGAGCGCCCUUCCUCACCAGGGUACAGAGCGCUAACAGCAGCGCAUUUGCUUACUCAGCAACCCCACCCCCAGUGAACAGAGGUCAAGCCCGGCAAGCCCUUGAACUCUGAUGGGGCAGCAAUCCCAUGGAAAUGAGGAACUCCCACGGGUGAGGAGCUCUCUGAGGUACUGAGGAGCAUAAACGGGAGAAGCUCAGGAAACAGUAUUCUUGGAGGGUCUUAAUCAUCUCUGUAACUGCUGAGCCCAAGAUGGGACUGACCACACACUAGGUGAGGGGAUGGCCUGGCCACUGUGCUUAUGCGAGGUCUGCAGAAAGGACUUCCCAAGGUCAAUGUCCUGAAUGCAACAGGGACUGAGUCCAGGUAUUUCCGGCCUCUCCCUCAGGGACCAGAUGGCUGGUGCCCCCUCUAGGAUGACUGCCUCCUGACAGCGAAGAGGUUCUUCUAAACCAUGACAACCAACCUACUCCUUAGAAACACACCUAAAGCAGGAGUGAGAAGGCCUGACGAAGGCAUCAUCUCUGUCGUCUGAAACGAGGGCUCUGGUGGCGAGCGCAGAGCAGUCUUCCUUCAGAGGCUGCCUGUGUGUGAUCCGGGCCCACCGAGUCCCACACAGUCACGAACACACUGAAAGGAGCUCUGGGGGAAGUGAGAGCAAGAGGAAUUUUCUUUUUUUUUUAGUAAGAGGAAUUUUCAAUGACUCAUAUAAAUUGCUCCUAUGUUCGGUAGCCAGAGCUUCAGAAAUAUUUAAAUGCGGAUACUAGUGAAAUUAAUGACCAAUAAUUUAAACUUAUUUGGGAAAACAUUAAUUUGCUGAGAUAUGGUCCAUGGAACCCUAACAAUUAAACCUGGAUUAAAUAAAUCUGUUUCCUGAGACACUCUAAAUAUUCAUCUCUAGUAAAAUAUCCCCCGGGAACAAAUACUUUUAUGUUCUUUGGUUAAAGGGAAAAAUAACUCAAAAUGGUAAAGGUAUCGAAUACAUUCUCCUCAUGGGGUCUCACCCUACUCACACCCCAACUUCCACAUGGAGGGCCUGCUCC